UUACUAUCUCAGAGACAAGAUGAAUGCACUUAAGAAAUAGUAGAAAGAAAUAGUUAGUGCAACUUUGAUUAUCCAUUCGAUUUAUUGAGAAAGUUGACAUAGACAUGCUGGUGAUAAAAAUGAGAGCUAUUUGCAUUCCUUUUUUCAAAAUUUGAUGUUAUUAAGGUUUAGUUCCUCCUUUCUUUUCCCUCUGUUUUGAAAUUGUGAGAAAAAUGACGGUGAAAGUAUGUGAGGCUGCUUGUGGCAGGCACUACAAGAUGCAAAAAGAUUUAAAUGUGUUUACAGCUGUGCAUCGUGAUAUUCGUAGUAUCGAAUGCAUAGAUUUGGCCUUCUGGAGAUACAAUUGUCUAGCGCUUGUAAUGUAAUUGUCUCAGUACAUUAGAUACAGUUACUUAUGUCUUGACGUGUUCACGUCAACGUGUGGGCAUGCCUCACACACACUUGAAGCUGUGGAUGGUUCGAAGAAAUGGUGUGGCUAUAUUUGAUUAUUUUGCAAUAGUUGUUGGUGCUAGCAAUGUAAAAUGGUCACACUUGAGGAUAUUGACUUGGGUUGAAGGUUUUUAAAGCUGAAGCAUUUCCAAAUUAAUGAAAAUACUUG
rnacentral:misc_RNA from 1 species